UAGGGAAUCUUCGGCAAUGGGGGCAACCCUGACCGAGCAACGCCGCGUGAGUGAAGAAGGUUUUCGGAUCGUAAAGCUCUGUUGUAAGAGAAGAACGUGUGUGAGAGUGGAAAGUUCACACAGUGACGGUAACUUACCAGAAAGGGACGGCUAACUACGUGCCAGCAGCCGCGGUAAUACGUAGGUCCCGAGCGUUGUCCGGAUUUAUAGGGCGUAAAGCGAGCGCAGGCGGUUUAAUAAGUCUGAAGUUAAAGGCAGUGGCUUAACCAUUGUUCGCUUUGGAAACUGUUAAACUUGAGUGCAGAAGGGGAGAGUGGAAUUCCAUGUGUAGCGGUGAAAUGCGUAGAUAUAUGGAGGAACACCGGUGGCGAAAGCGGCUCUCUGGUCUGUAACUGACGCUGAGGCUCGAAAGCGUGGGGAGCAAACAGG
rnacentral:rRNA from 1 species